rnacentral:lncRNA from 1 species
GCCGGCCUCUUGGAAGAAAAUGGAGAGAAAAUGUUUCACCCAAUUUCAACUAGAAAACCCUAAAAAGAAAAUAGCUAUAAAGUUGCUUUUAUAACCUUUUCUUUGGUGAGUGGCAAACUUGCAAUUAAGCAAGCUUUCUCCAUCCACCCUAAUGGCCGGCCAUCAUAUUGUUGUUGGGCUUGUUGCCCAUUUUGUUUUAGUUGUCAUACAACUUAAACAUAAUGGGCCUUUUGGACCA